GUUUUGUUAAGCUAAAGGGGUAAACCCACCAGUGUUAUGUAUUAUAUAUCUUUUAAUUUACAGCUUUGCAUUCAAAACCAGGGAUUUCACAUAAAAAGAAGAUGGAACACAUGAAGUAGAGGUUGUCAUGGAUGAUAAAGUUAAAUCCCUUCUGCUGAAUUUGUUCUGCUGUAACAGACUGAUGCCUGAGCAGGUGCUGAGGAAUGAUUGCUUCCUUGCAGUUGAUGUGAUUCCAGUUUCACUGCACCCAGGUGAAAAAUAUGAGCCUCAUAAAAACCAAAAUUCUGAAACAACAGAUUAAAAAAGGGAUUAACCAAGGAGAAUGGAGCAAAACCCUACUCAAUAGAUGAAAACUUUUCCAUCAGGUGUUUGAGACUUCUGUUUUGAAAUCAUUGCCCUGAUCUGAAAUAUCAAAGUAUAAAAGGUUUGGUAGGUGCAUUAAUUUUUUAAGAUUAUACAGUCUUCACUGUUUUCUUUUCAGUAUGUUUUAUUCUAAUUAAGUAUUUGGAGUUAUAAGUGUGAUUUUACUGGUUGUAUUCUUGGUUUGUCAGCCUUUUUCUUUACUCGUAUGUAGACUUUAAAUUUACAGAGACCAGUCCUGUUAGAUGCCAGAGAUCUUUAAGAUGAAACUUUAGUGAGUUGGUUUUUUAUUGAGUUUUCUAUCGCUCUUCAUGCUCUAAAUACAGAGAACAUAUUCCUCUUAAAGAUGUUACAGGAUAGUAUUUUGCUGAAUAAUUUUUUUAUUACAUAGACCGGUUGUUCUUACAGUAACUGCCUUCAGGAUUUAAGUAAACACCCCAAAAUUCUGCUUUGAAAACUGAUAAAAGAAAUGGUGAGCACCCUUCCUCUUUUCUUUUUUGCCUUUGAAAAAUGCAAUUGGCUUUCUAGAGAGCAGCCAUUCUUCUACUUGCUCCUUUGCUGUGCUGCUGCCAACCAAAAUAUUCUACACACACCUUUGCAGAACUGACUGUUUUUGCAAAAGCUACUGCUCUGUGUGCAUAUAUCACCUGUUACUAAAUGUUUUUUUGCAGUAGCUA
rnacentral:lncRNA from 1 species